UGUCAGAUCAUUGAUUCUUUCCCUGUGUCUUCCUCAUGUUCUUCUUCUUGCUCCCUGUUGUGGUUUUUGUGUUUUCAAUUGGACCAUUUGGGAUUUUGCCUCCUUGGAUUUUUUGAAAUUGUUGGGACUCACCAGCUGGUGGAAAUUCAUCACUCUAACCUUGUGUUUUGACUCUUCCAGCUGUCUGCUAACUUUUGGGACCAUUGAGGGGAAAUAAACCAUAAUCCACACUCCAAUGGAGCCAUUGUAUAUGGCAGCACUUACCUCAUGUGUACCAGCGGAGACCUUCCACGCAAAUCUCCAUGAUGGAAGGACUGAGAUGUGGGGAGAGCCUGUGGGUUGGAAAAACUAUAUCUUUCUAUCUGAGGAGUCAUAAUGUCAAGCGCAUUACAGUCCAUCAGCUGGAUACCUGCCACAAAAAACUCCUACCAAGAAGGCCCAAGGGAGCCAUAUCACAAACUUUGAGCUUCUUCCCCCCCGCCCUCUCUUCAGACAGAACUGCCUCACAGAAGACUUGUGCUAAAAUCAUACACUUGACAUGUAACAUCUUUGUGUGUUUGGUGGGUGUGAGGGUGGGCUGACAUACGUGUGGCAUGUUUCACGGAGAAAACGGUAAGCCUGAUGCGUGUACGGAGUGUCAUGACGUGUUUCGUGCUGCUCAAGACACAUUGUAAACUCGAUCAGUCACCCAAUAAAUCCAGCUGGAGGGAAAACACAA